CUGACCUCAAAUCAGGUAGGACUACCCGCUGAACUUAAGCAUAUAANUUAAGC
rnacentral:rRNA from 1 species